AAUACCGGAAUUGUUGCCUUCCCUAACGCAUACAUGGAAAGAAAUCAAGAUUAAAUAACUCUUAAACGUGUGUAAUAAUGAAGAUGGUGCCUUGUUUUGAAACCGUGUUUCUAGUUUCUACUGCUAACUAUUUUCUUCACCUACAGCAUCGACUUGCUUGCUUCUGCGACUGCUACUAACACUGUGCCUUUCUUGCAAUAUUAAAUGCACCCUCCUUUCUUCUUUCUUUCGCAAUCAUAUCUCCUGUAAAACAAUCCCUUCUUGAUCACUUUUCUUUUUCUCUCUGCUUUCGCUUCUUUGGAAUUGAAAUGAAGUUGCUUUUUUGUUUGUAUUUGUGGGUUCUGUGUGGUCGAGGACUGCUGGUUAUGGCUGCAAGUAGUGACAGUAGCAGUGCGCAGAGGAAGCUUGAUCAGACACCCACAUGGGCUGUUGCUGGUGUUUGUGCUGUUAUGAUCAUCAUUUCUAUUCUCUUGGAAAAGGGUCUUCACAAAUUUGGAACGGUAUGCGUAAAAUAUUCUCUUCAACACUCUUGUUUUUUCGAUUUGCUACUUCUUUUUUCAUGCUCUUGGUAAUCUUGACGUUUUGCUCACAUGGGUUUUUGUUCUUGCUUCUCUUUAAUUUGAACGUUACGGCCUUAAUUCUUUAGUCCUUUUCCUUAAUCGUUUCGCAAUCCUAAGUCCUUUUUCCUUAAUUGUGUCACAAUCCUUCACUCUUUUGGUGGUUGGGAGGUCUGAACUAUUAAUGCUUUCAGCUUCUUCAACUCUGUAGACAAGAACUAAAGUCAGAUUUAAAAAAUUGAGAAGGCUAUCUCUCUCUGUCACCAUUAAUUUUGAUUAGACUUUUUCACUUAUCAAUACUUCACGUCUUGAGACGGGAUUAAUGCGUUCUUACUUUCUCCUGCUGGCCUUGCCUUAAACUUUCGCUUUCAAUUGAACUUAUCGUGCCGGAUAAAAAUUAAUUGGAACUACUCUUCUUUUUCCGCAUCAAGCUUUUAGCUUUGUGCAAUGGUUGACAGAAAGGCACAAGAGAGCUUUAUUUGAAGCCUUGGAGAAAGUUAAAGCUGAGCUAAUGGUUCUAGGAUUCAUUUCACUGCUCCUUACUUUUGGGCAGACAUACAUUAUCAAAAUAUGUAUUCCCCAGAAUGUUGCAGACACUAUGUUGCCAUGCCGAGCUGAUGGUGAAAAUGACCAAACUGAAGAACAUCGUCGAAGGCUUUUGUGGUUUGAGCAUAGAUUUCUAGCAGGUGCUGAAACCACUAGUAAAUGCAAAACGGGGUAUGAACCGCUUAUAACAGUUGACGGAUUGCAUCAGUUACACAUCCUCAUAUUCUUCUUAGCAGUCUUCCAUGUGUUAUAUAGUUUAACUACAAUGAUGCUUGGAAGACUAAAGAUUCGUGGUUGGAAGGAAUGGGAGCAGGAGACUUCAUCCCAUGAUUAUGAGUUUUCAAAUGAUCCUUCAAGAUUCAGGCUUACUCAUGAGACCUCUUUUGUGAGAGCGCAUACUAGUUUCUGGACUAGAAUUCCUUUCUUCUUCUAUAUUGGAUGCUUCUUCCGACAAUUUUUUAGGUCUGUUAGCAAAGCUGAUUACCUGACAUUGCGGAAUGGAUUUAUCACAGUCCAUUUAGCUCCUGGAAGUAAGUUUAACUUUCAAAAAUACAUCAAAAGGUCAUUAGAGGAUGAUUUCAAGGUUGUUGUGGGAGUAAGUCCAAUUUUGUGGGCAUCCUUUGUCAUUUUCCUGCUCCUAAAUGUGAAAGGAUGGCAAGCAUUAUUUUGGGCUUCUACGAUCCCUGUGAUUAUAAUCUUAGCUGUUGGGACAGAGCUUCAAGCUAUUCUGACAAUGAUGGCUCUUGAAAUUUCAGAAAGACAUGCAGUGGUACAAGGAAUGCCUCUUGUGCAAGGCUCAGACAAAUAUUUUUGGUUCGGUCGGCCUCAGUUAGUUCUUCAUCUUAUCCAUUUUGCUUUAUUUCAGAAUGCUUUCCAAAUAACAUAUUUCCUGUGGAUAUGGUAUUCAUUCGGAUUAAAAUCUUGCUUCCAUGCCAAUUUCAAGCUUGCUAUAGCAAAGGUUGCUUUAGGGGCUGGGGUCUUAGUUCUCUGCAGCUACAUUACACUUCCAUUAUAUGCCCUUGUAACUCAGAUGGGUUCACAUAUGAAGAAAUCAAUCUUUGAUGAACAAACAAGUAAGGCCCUUAAGAAGUGGCAUAUGGCUGUGAAAAAGAGGCACAAGAAAGGAGGGAAGUCUCCCACUAUGACUUUGGGUGGAAGUGCAAGUCCAGUCUCAACAGUACACUCUUCUGGACACACACUGCACCGUUUCAAAACCACUGGACACUCAAGCCGCUCAUCAUACGCCUAUGAGGACCAGGAAAUGUCUGAUAUGGAAGCUGAGACAUUGUCACCCACAUCGUCCACAACCAACUUGAUUGUAAGAACCAGCCAAGAUGAUGAAGCUGCUGAAUUAAGCGAACCCCACCACGACGAAGAAACAAGCAAUGAAGAUGACUUCUCUUUUGUCAAGCCUGCUGUACCGAAACAGCCAUGAAGAGGCAAAAUUUUCCAUGUAUAUGCCAUGGCACCCCUUUGUACCUGUAGGUCUGAGAAAACAUUAUAGUUGUAUGAACGCAGUUUGCUAAAUACAGCAGCUUUUUUUUCUGCUUGUCCAUAUUUACUGGAUUUAGCAUCCAGCAGUUCUCCUUCAUCAUGUACUCUACAUUUUGAUUCAGCCAGGAUGAACUAGGAGAUUCAACUCAAAGCUAUUCGGAACAUUUAUAUUUUGUUUCAGAAAUAUUAUACAAUAGCAAUAUUUUAGUGUAAAA
rnacentral:misc_RNA from 1 species